rnacentral:rRNA from 1 species
AUUGAACGCUGGCGGCAUGCCUUACACAUGCAAGUCGAACGGCAGCACGGGGGCAACCCUGGUGGCGAGUGGCGAACGGGUGAGUAAUGCAUCGGAACGUGCCCAGUAGUGGGGGAUAACUAGUCGAAAGAUUAGCUAAUACCGCAUACGACCUAUGGGUGAAAGCGGGGGACCUUUACCGGCCUCGCGCUAUCGGAGCGGCCGAUGUCUGAUUAGCUAGUUGGCGGGGUAAAAGCCCACCAAGGCUUCGAUCAGUAGCUGGUCUGAGAGGACGACCAGCCACACUGGGACUGAGACACGGCCCAGACUCCUACGGGAGGCAGCAGUGGGGAAUUUUGGACAAUGGGCGCAAGCCUGAUCCAGCCAUGCCGCGUGCGGGAAGAAGG